AGGCCUGUAGCUUAGUUGGUAGAGCGAUCCCCUCUGAAGGGAUGGACACCGGUUCGAGGCCGGUCGGGCCCGCCA
rnacentral:tRNA from 1 species